UCCACCUCUACCUCAAUGUGCCCUGAUAGUUUAUGUGAUCUAUAAUAAGUAGCAAAAGAGGUUGUUACAGAUUUCACUAGCUGAAUUUUGAAGCACUUAGAUUCUUUCCCAUCGUAACUCUCUCGAGAGUCGCUCGCAACACCUUCGCCAUCAUCAAUCUAUGCAUCCACAUACCGAAAACUUCCUUCACUGCCCGAAAAUCAUCCAUCUCCACGUCUGCGGUUAACUAUAGCUCCAGCUUAUCAACCUCCAUCAACCAAGUCGAAGCUUCACUCUCAAUUAUAGCCUCGAAGGAUCUGUCAUUUGCUAGGGAAUUUGGUGACUCUAUAGAAGCUAUUACCUCUACAGCACCCUCGUCUCUGUCUCACCUUGAAUCCCCACCUAAUUUUAAACACCAUCUAAAUCUCUUUCAAAAAUUGGUCCCUCACUCUUAUUCUGAAAUAGAAG
rnacentral:lncRNA from 1 species